GACCGCGUAGCUCAGUUGGAAGAACAUUGGGCUAGCAUUCCAAAGGUCGUAGGUUCGAAUCCCACCGUGGCCG
rnacentral:tRNA from 1 species